CGCCCUCCCUCGCUCGGCGAGGGAAGAGCGGGGCGGCGCCCGCGCGUUACGUGGUGGAACCCGCCCGGCGGGCGCAACAGGAGGCCCGCCCGAGGGGCAGUGCGCGGCCCGCCGUGUCACGUGAUGCUCCCUGGCAACAGCUCAGCUGACAUGAACACCUUGGCAACCUCUUCAUCCCUCACCUUUCUAUGUUUAUGCUUCCUGAUGCUGCCAGAUCAGUUAAAAGAUCAUAAUCUUAUGUAACCUUACACAAAGCUGAAUGACAAUUGCAAAGAAUCUAGAGGAAGUCAAAACUGCAAAAUAGAAGAAGCCUGGGGCCUCAGAUUAAUCCUUGGAGGAAUCCUGCCCCAGAGAACUGCAUAACCAGAAACACCUGUGUUGGAUUUUAC